rnacentral:rRNA from 1 species
GUGGGGAAUCUUGGACAAUGGGGGCAACCCUGAUCCAGCCACGCCGCGUGAGUGAUGAAGGUUUUCGGAUCGUAAAACUCUGUCUUGAGGGAAGAACCGUCUGGAUUCUAAUAGGAUCCAGGCCUGACGGUACCUCAGGAGGAAGCACCGGCUAACUCCGUGCCAGCAGCCGCGGUAAUACGGAGGGUGCAAACGUUGCUCGGAAUUACUGGGCGUAAAGCGCAUGCAGGCGGACUGUUAAGUUUCGUGUGAAAGCCCUGGGCUCAACCCAGGAAGUGCACGGAAAACUGGCAGACUAGAGUACUUGAGAAGUGGACGGAAUUCCCGGUGUAGAGGUGAAAUUCGUAGAUAUCGGGAGGAACACCAGUAGCGAAAGCGGUUCACUGGAAAGAUACUGACGCUCAGAUGCGAAAGCGUGGGGAGCAAACAGG